UAAACCUCGUACCUUUUGCAUCAUGAAUUAGCCAGAACAAGCGAGCAAGAAGCACCUUAGCCCGCCGCCCCGAAACUAAGUGAGCUACCCCGAGACAGCUUAUUAAGAGCCAACCCGUCUCUGUGGCAAAAGAGUGGGAAGAUCUCCGGGUAGAAGUGACAGACUUACCGAACUUAGUUAUAGCUGGUUGCCUAGGAAAUGGAUAGGAGUCCAGCCUGCUUUCUUCUUCCCAAGACAGGAGAGUCAUUUAAAGGGGGAACAGCUCCUUUAAAACAGGAUACAACCUUACCAGGAGGAUAAAGAUUAUAAUUUAUAAGAGUCGCGCCCCAGUGGGCCUGAAAGCAGCCAUCUGCGUUGAAAGCGUCACAGCUUAAGCGAUCCAUACCAAUAAAAUCUCUAAAGCCCCUGUUAAGUACUAGGCCUUCCCACAAUCUGUGGGAGAGAACAUGCUAGUAUGAGUAACAAGAAAGGGAUUUCUCCUAGCACAAGUGUAUAUCAGAACAGACAUCCCACUGAAAAUUAACGGACCCAAAAAGAGGGAAAUGCUAAACCGCCAGAAAUUUUAGCUCCGUUAACCCUACACUGGAGCGCUGAAGGAAAGACUAAAAGGAAGGGAAGGAACUCGGCAAAAAGCCCCGCCUGUUUACCAAAAACAUGGCCUCUUGCUAGAAUAAGAGGUCCAGCCUGCCCAGUGACCAUGUGUUUAACGGCCGCGGUAUUUUAACCGUGCUAAGGUAGCGUAAUCACUUGUCUUUUAAUUGGAGACUUGUAUGAAAGGCAUAACGAGGGCUUAACUGUCUCCCCUCCCCAGUCAGUGAAAUUGACCUCCUCGUGCAAAGGCGAGGAUAAAUACAUAAGACGAGAAGACCCUGUGGAGCUUAAGACAAUAGCAGCCCAUUGAAGAAACCUUGAUAAAAAGGGCACAACCUAGUGUGCAUCUGGCUUGCGUCUUCGGUUGGGGUGACCAUGGGGAAUACAAAACCCCCAAGAGGAGAGGAGACCUCUCCAAAAACCAGGGACACUGCCCUAGUCAACGAAAAAUUCGACCUAGAAUGAUCCGGACUACCCGAUCAACGAACCAAGUUACCCCAGGGAUAACAGCGCUAUCCCCUUCUAGAGCCCUUAUCGACAAGGGGGAUUACGACCUCGAUGUUGGAUCAGGACAUCCUAAUGG
rnacentral:rRNA from 1 species